UUAAAUGAUGAUAAAAAUAACACAGACCUGUACUGAUUCUAUUUAAAUAGAUACAUGCAGAUAAAAUUAUUGCCUUUUCUGACA
rnacentral:ncRNA from 14 species